rnacentral:misc_RNA from 1 species
GAUGAAGAACGUAGCGAAAUGCGAUACGUAAUGUGAAUUGCAGAUUUCAGUGAAUCAUCGAAUCUUUGAACGCACAUUGCGCCCGCUAGUAUUCUGGCGGGCAUGCCUGUUCGAGCGUCAUUUCAACCAUCAAGCCCUAGGCUUGCGUUGGAGCCCUGCGGCUGCCGCAGGCUCCCAAAUCCAGUGGCGGGCUCGUCGUCGUACCGAGUGCAGUAAACAUCCUCGCUCAGGGAACGUGACGGGUUCUUGCCGUGAAACCCCCCACAUAUCAAGGUUGACCUCGGAUCAGGUAGGAAUACCCGCUGAACUUAAGCAUAUCAAUAAGCGGAGA